UCGCAGUUCGCCAAGGACGUGCACGCCCAUUCGACCGGCCGCUGGAGACCACGGCUUGCCAUGAUCACAUUCCUCGACGGGUUCUUCGGCUUCGUCUGUCUCGGCGUUUACAUCGCUCAGAUGGCCGCGCGGCCCUGAACCGUCAGCGCAAUACCGUCAGCGCCACAGCCCGAGCGCUGCCCACUUCGAUUCGGGAAUCAGUUCGCCGAUCUUGUAGCCGAACGACAGCACCUUCAUGUGGUCGGGCGAUCCCUUGCACGCGAAGGAAAACGCAUACCAUCGUCCCUUGCUGCGGAACGCACCGCCCUUGCCCGUGACAGUGUCGCCCGCAUGCUGCGGAUGGGACAGCACGUCGGUCUGGGCGCGGUCGGG
rnacentral:misc_RNA from 1 species